rnacentral:rRNA from 1 species
UACGUAGGGGGCUAGCGUUGUCCGGAAUCAUUGGGCGUAAAGCGCGCGUAGGCGGCCCGGUAAGUCCGCUGUAAAAGUCCAGGGCUCAACCCUGGAACGCCGGUGGAUACUGGCAGGCUGGAGUAUGGUAGAGGAAGGUGGAAUUCCCGGUGUAGCAGUGAAAUGCGUAGAGAUCGGGAGGAACACCAGUGGCGAAGGCGGCCUUCUGGACCAAUACUGACGCUCAUGCACGAAAGCGUGGGGAGCAAACAGG